AUCUUUGUCAGUGACAGCAUGGAGAACACAGCAGCUUGUCUUAGAACCAUGGCCUUGCCACAGUGGGGCAGAAAGGGACCACCGUUCUUAGCACUCACCUCCUCCUCCUCCUCCCUCAUGCAGAGCUUGUGAGCACCCGUGCCCCUGAAGCUACUCAACAGACAAAAGUAUCGUAGGUGUCGCAUGCUGUGUCAUCAGACAUACUGACACAGGUUACAGCCUCGGUGUGGAGCCAGCUGCUAGUGGGUUGUCUCUUGGCGGCCGGGAGGCUACAGUCCUGGGCUCCCAUCUCUCACAGUCCAGAGCUUCAAAUGCCCCAGGACCACCGGGUUCGCCGCCGCCACUCCCUCCAGCUGCGCGGCUCCUGCAGCAAGAGCCUCCACCUCCCGCGCGCGGAGAGACACGGUCGCUUCCCCCCAUCCCCCCAGCCUUUGGAGCGUUCCCGGCCCUCACCCCAGAUCCUGAGCAGACCACUACCCUGCCCAAAGCCUGGGCAGCCUCGGGGCCCGGGAGGGGGCGGCUGGCUCGCAAAGUUCCUGCAAGCAGCAGCACCUCGAGCUCGCCGCGAGCCAGAGAGCAUCUUUAUGCAACUUUAUGUCCAAGUGAAAGCGCGCUGCUCAGCGUGCGCGCACGCGCACACACGCAUUUACACGCACCACACACUUCCAUGCAUCCACUUACACACUUAGCGCUGGACCGAAAACUUGGGCACUCCUUCACUCCUGGGAUCCCACUGUCAAGAUGACCCGCCUGAACUUUUUGCAGCUCUUGCCGAAGUCCCCCCUUUCCCUGUUCCUCCCCCCUACUGUCUCCCCCCAAGUCCCACCAGGACUAACCUGUGGAAUCCAUGUCGGGUUCCUCCAGUAACCCACAAUGCAUGCUCUUCCCAUGGACAGCA